rnacentral:rRNA from 1 species
UGUGGCCUACGGGGGGCAGCAGUGAGGAAUAUUGGUCAAUGGGCUUACGCCUGAACCAGCCAAGUCGCGUGAGGGAAGACUGCCCUAUGGGUUGUAAACCUCUUUUGUCAGGGAGCAACGCCGGCUACGUGUAGCCGGACUGAGAGUACCUGAAGAAAAAGCAUCGGCUAACUCCGUGCCAGCAGCCGCGGUAAUACGGAGGAUGCGAGCGUUAUCCGGAUUUAUUGGGUUUAAAGGGUGCGUAGGCGGAAUGCCAAGUCAGCGGUAAAAUCGUGGGGCCCAACCCCAUCCCGCCGUUGAAACUG